rnacentral:rRNA from 1 species
UACAGAGGGUGCAAGCGUUAAUCGGAAUUACUGGGCGUAAAGCGCACGUAGGCGGUUUUUUAAGUCAGAUGUGAAAGCCCCGGGCUCAACCUGGGAAUUGCAUUUGAAACUGGGAAACUAGAGUGUGUGAGAGGGGGGUAGAAUUCCAAGUGUAGCGGUGAAAUGCGUAGAGAUUUGGAGGAAUACCAGUGGCGAAGGCGGCCCCCUGGCACAACACUGACGCUCAGGUGCGAAAACGUGGGGAGCAAACAGG